rnacentral:lncRNA from 1 species
UGCUGGAAGAGGAGGUUUCUCAGCCCCAAGAUGGGCUGCUAGUGCUUCUACUUCUGGCAAUACUGGAUGGGCUAGUUACUUCAAUGCUAGUGGUAAUAUAUGAGCUAGGUGACAGUAAGGCUAGUGCUAAAACUAGGUGACAAUAAUUGUCUGUUUGAGAACUACUUUGUCUGUUUGAGAACUAUUUUGUCUGUCAUGUAUGAGGUGUUUGAGAACUAGGUGACUUUUGUGGUGUUUGAUGAUGAAGUGCUACC